UACGUAGGUGGCAAGCGUUGUCCGGAAUUAUUGGGCGUAAAGCGCGCGCAGGCGGUCCUUUAAGUCUGAUGUGAAAGCCCACGGCUCAACCGUGGAGGGUCAUUGGAAACUGGGGGACUUGAGUGCAGGAGAGAAAAGUGGAAUUCAUGGUGUAGCAGUGAAAUGCGUAGAGAUCAUGAGGAAGACCAGUGGCGAAGGCGGGUCUCUGGACAGUUCCUGACACUGAGGCACGAAGGCCAGGGGAGCAAACGGG
rnacentral:rRNA from 1 species